AAGAUCAUACUUCACAGGAUCAUUUCUGUAGUAUGCAUCGUCCCCUCCAGGUGCAAAUCUGGAGUCGUCAUUGGCCACGAUGAUGAGACUUAGUCCAUGUAUCGGAGCGUGAGGCGGUUGGCGAGGUCUUAGCUCUAUGAGUCUAGGCCUCCCAGCAACGAUGAUCGCAACUAGCUCUCGAGCUAGGAGGUACAUGGACAGUCUGAGUGGU
rnacentral:snoRNA from 1 species